UGGAUAGCUCAGUUGGUUGAGCAUAAGACUCCUACAGAAAUCUCAGGGUCGUGGGUUCAAGCCCCAACUUGGGCAA